UAAUUCACACCGUGAGCAUCUGCCACACCACAGUGCACUUGAUCCUAAUGAUCAGAUGAGCUGUAACUGCAGACUGGAAGUGUGUUUGUGUGUUUCAGUCACGGCAAAGCGUCUCCUCGAGUCGAGCUUCUGCACAACAUCGACCCGCUGUAUGUGGACACCGCUCCAUGUCCUGGAGACGAGGUGUCGGGAGAGUUUCUGGAGGAGUCUUUGCGCUCGUCAGCGCCUCGGCCCGGCGCUCUCGGCUCACGCUCGGAGUUUAACAUCUCGGUUCACGCCGCCAUUCGUUACAAGAACUGGAAGCUUCUCACAGGUUACCCAGAGAAGAAGUCUUGCAUUCUCCCUUAAUCAGCAAAAAAACCAGAGCCUGAUGUUUUCUGCUGCAUCUGGGUGUUUACUGCAUCCAAACAAUGACGUCAUUGUUUUUCUAGACUUCUGUUUGU